rnacentral:tRNA from 1 species
UACCCGAUGACUGAAAGUAAGUUUAGAUCUUUUAAAUCUAAGAUAGUAGUAACGCCUACUUCUGGUUA